rnacentral:tRNA from 1 species
UAUAAGGUGUCCGAGUAAAAGGUGUUGGUUUGUAAAACUAGAUACGGGGUGUAUCCUCUCUUAUAA